UGACCCUGCAGCCCCUCGGCCCCGAACCAGGCCCAGCCAUGCUGUCUCUUGCAGGUGCUGGCCAAGUCCUCUGUGGGAACCCCACCAAGGGCCUGCGGGAGCGUAGGCACCAGUGCCAGGCCAGGGAGCCCCCCGAGCAGCUGCCCCAACACAGGCCAGGAGAUCCGGCCGCCAGCACUUCCACCCCAGAGCCUGACCCUGCAGACAGCUCUGACUUCCUGGCCUUGACUGGGCUUAGGGCCUGGAGGGAACAUGGCGUGCGCCCCCUCCCCUAUAGGCACCCGGAGUCCCAACAGGAAGGGGCUGUAGCCCCCUGGGGCCCACGGAGGGUCCCUGAAGAGCAAGUGCACCAGGCAGAGCCCAAGACUCCCUCCAGCCCCCCAAGCCUGGCCUCAGAGCCCUCCGGGACCUCGAGCCAGCACCUGGUCCCUUCACCUCCCAAGCACCCAAGGCCACGAGAUUCUGGCAGCAGCUCCCCGCGGUGGUCGACAGACCUGCAGUCCAGGGGGCGUCGGCUCCGAGCCCUGGGCAGCUGGGGGCCUGGCCUGGGUGAUGGGGUGGCUGCAGUGCCUGUCCUGAGAGCCCUGGAGGUGGCCUCAGGCCUAAGCCCUCGAGCCCAGGGACGUCCUGGCCCAAAGCCAGCACCAGAUGCAACAGCUAGACCUCCCAGGGCAGCUGAACUCUCUCACCCCAGCCCCGUCCCCACUUAAUAUAGCCCCCACUGCCAAGCUUGCCUGUGCUGGGGCCACGACUUGCCCACAUAUGUGGUCACAGAGCACAGAAUACCUGGGCGUGUGUGUUGGGGGGUGAAAGGAGUGCCUGGCC
rnacentral:lncRNA from 1 species